GACGAACGCUGGCGGCGUGCUUUAGGCAUGCAAGUCGAACGCGAAAGCCCCUUCGGGGGUGAGUAGAGUGGCGAACGGGUGAGUAACACGUGGGUAACCUGCCCCUCGCAGGGGGAUAACCGGGGGAAACCCCGGCUAAUACCCCGUACGCUUGCUGGGGCGCAUGCUCCGGCAAGGAAAGGUAGCUUCGGCCAUCCGGCGAGGGAGGGGCCCGCGGCCCAUUAGCUAGUUGGUGGGGUAACGGCCCACCAAGGCGACGAUGGGUAGCUGGCCUGGGAGGGUGGUCAGCCACACUGGGACUGAGACACGGCCCAGACUCCUACGGGAGGCAGCAGCCAGGAAUCUUGCGCAAUGGGAGAAAGCCUGACGCAGCAACGCCGCGUGGGCGAUGAAGGCCUUCGGGUCGUAAAGCCCUGUUGUCGGGGACGAAGGGCGAAGGGUUAAUAGCCCCUAGCCUGACGGUACCCGACGAGGAAGCCCCGGCUAACUACGUG
rnacentral:rRNA from 1 species